rnacentral:rRNA from 1 species
UGCAGUCGAACGGAAACGAUGGAGAGCUUGCUCUUCAGGCGUCGAGUGGCGGACGGGUGAGUAAUGCAUAGGAAUCUGCCCAGUAGCGGGGGACAACUUGGGGAAACUCAAGCUAAUACCGCAUACGCCCUACGGGGGAAAGCGGGGGACCUUCGGGCCUCGCACUAUUGGAUGAGCCUAUGUCUGAUUAGCUUGUUGGUGGGGUAAUGGCCUACCAAGGCGACGAUCAGUAGCUGGUCUGAGAGGACGAUCAGCCACACUGGGACUGAGACACGGCCCAGACUCCUACGGGAGGCAGCAGUGGGGAAUAUUGCACAAUGGGCGAAAGCCUGAUGCAGCAAUGCCGCGUGUGUGAAGAAGGCCUGCGGGUUGUAAAGCACUUUCAGUUGGGAGGAAAAGCAAUGGGUUAAUAACCCGUUGUCUUGACGUUACCUACAGAAGAAGCACCGGCUAACUCUGUGCCAGCAGCCGCGGUAAUACAGAGGGUGCGAGCGUUAAUCGGAAUUACUGGGCGUAAAGCGCGCGUAGGCGGCUUGGUCAGUCGGAUGUGAAA